AGUCAACUGGUUAGUGGAACGGAAUGGAAAGUCCGGCGAUAGAGGGUGAUAGCCCCGUACACGAAAACUGGUUGGUGGUACUGAGCAUACGACAAGUAUGGCGGGGCACGAGAAACCUUGUCUGAACAUGGGGGGACCAUCCUCCAAGGCUAAAUACUCGUAAUCGACCGAUAGUGAACCAGUACCGUGAGGGAAAGGCGAAAAGAACCCCGGGAGGGGAGUGAAAUAGAACCUGAAACCGUGUGCAUACUAACAGUGGGAGCGGACUUGUUCCGUGACUGCGUACCUUUUGUAUAAUGGGUCAGCGACUUACGUUCAGUAGCGAGCUUAACCGAGUAGGGGAGGCGUAGGGAAACCGAGUCCGAAUAGGGCGCAUAGUUGCUGGGCGUAGACCCGAAACCAAGUGAUCUAUCCAUGGCCAGGUUGAAGGUGCCGUAACAGGUACUGGAGGACCGAA
rnacentral:rRNA from 1 species